GGCCCCAUCGUCUAUCGGCUAGGACACGAGACUUUCAUUCUCGGAAGCAGGGUUCGAUUCCCUGUGGGGUCA
rnacentral:tRNA from 1 species